rnacentral:RNase_P_RNA from 1 species
UGGAUAGCUGCUGGGAGACUUGCUCUCCUAGAGGAAAGUCCAUGCUCGCGCCGUCUGUGAUGGCGGCAGUGAUUGCGCUAGGUUAAUCAAUAAGCCUAGGCAGGGAGGAGUCCCUGACGGCGGGGAGGAAUCUAAACUAUGGUUUCCAUAGCAUGAUGUCCUCCUCUGAAAGCUCCACAGUGACGAAUUCUAAGGGAAACCCUAGAGAUGAAACGUUGGAAAGCCCCACAAGCGAGAAACCUAAAUUUUGGUAAGGGAAGCCGAAAGAGGGAAACGAACCUUAUAGGCAAGCAGAAAUGCUUAGAUAAAUUGCUGUCCUAGACAAAACAUGGCUUACAG